UCGGGUUUGGUGAGGUUUGUGCAGGCCUUUCAUCUCCUCCUCUCUCAAGGACCUGAGGAGCCAAUCUUGGAUCCUCCGUGGGCAUGAGUGCAGUCGUUGUCAUACGUCACCGCGGCCCCUGCGUACCUUUGUCCUUGGUGAACGAAGCUGCUGCCAUCAGUGAACCAGACAACUUCGGCAUCCAUCAGGGGGUAGUCCUGCAGGUCUUCUCGUAGCCCAAAAGUCUGGGCCAAUAUGUCGGCGCAGUCAUGGAGGGGUGCAUCCAAGUCCAGGUGUGUAUGCCUCAAGAUGCUUAUCAUGAUGCCAAGAAACAUCUCUUCUAAGGACUCCACAAAACAGUGGCUGUUGCAAGAUGGAGUCAGAGUGGUCAACCCUUCCCUGGCCCCCUUUCUUCUUCCACCUCAUGUCACCACACUGGAACCUAGUUACAGUUUCAGCUUUCCCAGAAAUGGAAUCUUAAAUCAGUCAAUCAGGAUUUUCCUGAUCAGCAUUAAUUAGGUAUUGUGCCUGAUAAAAACCCCUACCAUCCCCUAUAAAAAAAGUAGCCUUGUAAUAACCAACCUACCUUUUUGUCUAGUGUAACAUCCUUGUUUUUGCUCCCUUCUGUCUAUAAAAUGUAUUAUCUUGUAUAACUCUCUGAAGCUUCUUUCUCCCUGCUAGACUGGGUGCUGCCUGAUUAAUGAUUCACUGAAUA